rnacentral:rRNA from 1 species
CAGAUGCUAAUACCGGAUAACAACAGAUGAUGCCUAUCAACUGUUUAAAAGAUGGUUCUGCUAUCACUCUUGGAUGGACCUGCGGUGCAUUAGCUAGUUGGUAGGGUAACGGCCUACCAAGGCGAUGAUGCAUAGCCGAGUUGAGAGACUGAUCGGCCACAUUGGGACUGAGACACGGCCCAAACUCCUACGGGAGGCAGCAGCC